rnacentral:tRNA from 1 species
GCAGGGGUGCCGGAGUGGUCAAACGGGAUGGGCUCAAAACCCAUUGGCUUAGUGCCUACGCAGGUUCGAACCCUGUCCUCUGCA